rnacentral:rRNA from 1 species
UUGUCCGGAAUUACUGGGCGUAAAGGGUACGCAGGCGGCCAAGCAAGUCAGAUGUGAAAGGCGUAGGCUCAACCUAUGUAAGCAUUUGAAACUGUUUGGCUUGAGUUAAGGAGAGGAAAGUGGAAUUCCUGGUGUAGCGGUGAAAUGCGUAGAUAUCAGGAAGAAUAUCAGUGGCGAAGGCGACUUUCUGGACUUAUACUGACGCUGAGGUACGAAAGCGUGGGGAGCAAACAGGAUUAGAUACCCUGGUAGUCCACGCCGUAAACGAUGAGUGCUAGGUGUCGGGGGUCAAACCUCGGUGCCGGAGUUAACACAUUAAGCACUCCGCCUGGGGAGUACGUUCGCAAG